rnacentral:rRNA from 1 species
CCUACGGGUGGCAACAGUGGGGAAUAUUGGGCAAUGGACGCAAGUCUGACCCAGCAACGCCGCGUGAAGGAAGAAGGCUUUCGGGUUGUAAACUUCUUUUAAGGGCGAAGAGCAGAAGACGGUACCCCUUGAAUAAGCCACGACUGACUACGUGCCAGCAGCCGCGGUAAUACGUAGGUGGCAAGCGUUGUCCCGAUUUACUUGGUGUAAAGGGCGUGCAGCCGGAGAGACAAGUCAGAUGUGAACUCCACGGGCUCAACACGUGAACUGCAUGUGAAAGUGUUGCACUUGAGUGUCGGAGAGGUAAUCGGAAUUCCUUGUGUAGCGGUGAAAGGCGUAGAUAGAAGGAAGAAUACCAGUGGCGAAGGCGGAUUACUGGACGAUAACUGACGGUGAGGCGCGAAAGCGUGGGGAGCAAACAGGAUUAGAUACCCCUGUAGUC